UGUCUCACAGGUGAUUCUGAAGCAGGUGGUCCAGGGAUACCUUGGAAAACCCUAGCCCUAGCCACUGUACCUGAAACUAGAUUUGGUACCUAUGAUAGAAGAUUAUGAAUGAAUUCUCAAGAAGAAAUGACAGAUCACCUUCAUUGUAUGGCAAAUGGAGAUGAGCUGAAAAGUGGAACUAAAUUCAACUGUGAUUUAGAAGAAAUUUGGGAACUUUUUUGA
ensembl:lincRNA